rnacentral:rRNA from 1 species
GGGGGGGGGGUUGUCCGGGGAUUAUUGGGCGUAAGAGCUUGUAGGUGGCUCGUUGCGUCGGGAGUGAAAACCCGCGGCUUAACCGCGGGCCUGCUUCCGAUACGGGCGAGCUAGAGUUCGGCAGGGGAGACUGGAAUUCCUGGUGUAGCGGUGGAAUGCGCAGAUAUCAGGAGGAACACCGGUGGCGAAGGCGGGUCUCUGGGCCGAUACUGACACUGAGAAGCGAAAGCGUGGGGAGCGAACAGGAUUAGAUACCCUGGUAGUCCACGCCGUAAACGUUGGGAACUAGGUGUGGGGUCCAUUCCACGGGCUCUGUGCCGCAGCUAACGCAUUAAGUUCCCCGCCUGGGGAGUACGGCCGCAAGGCUAAAACUCAAAGGAAUUGACGGGGGCCCGCACAAGCGGCGGAGCAUGUGGCUUAAUUCGAUGCAACGCGAAGAACCUUACCUGGGCUUGACAUGUUCGGUCUACCUGCAGAGAUGUGGGGUGCUUUUGCGCCGUUCACAGGUGGUGCAUGGUUGUCGUCAGCUCGUGUCGUGAGAUGUUGGGUUAAGUCCCGCAACGAGCGCAACCCUCGUUCCAUGUUGCCAGCGCGUUAUGGCGGGGACUCAUGGGAGACUGCCGGGGUCAACUCGGAGGAAGGUGGGGAUGACGUCAAAUCAUCAUGCCCCUUAUGUCCAGGGCUGCACACAUGCUACAAUGGCCGGUACAGAGGGCUGCGAUACCGCAAGGUGGAGCGAAUCCCAAAAAGCCGGUCUCAGUUCGGAUCGGGGUCUGCAACUCGACCCCGUGAAGUCGGAGUCGCUAGUAAUCGCAGAUCAGCAACGCUGCGGUGAAUACGUUCCCGGGCCUUGUACACACCGCCCGUCACGUCACGAAAGUCGGUAACACCCGAAGCCGGUGGCCUAACCCUUGUGGAGGGAGCCGUCGAAGUGGGACCGGCGAUCGGGACGAAGUCGUAACAAGGUAACC